UACAUACUCCCUCCGUCCGGAAAUACUUGUCAAAGAAAUGGAUGUACCUAGACGAAUUUUAGUUUUAGAUACAUUCAUUUUUAUGUAUUUCUGCGACAAGUAUUUCCGGACGGAGGGAGUACAAA
rfam:Triticum aestivum genome assembly, contig: Triticum_aestivum_CS42_TGACv1_scaffold_513169_6BS